rnacentral:rRNA from 1 species
GACGAACCGUGCAAACGUUGUUCGGAAUCACUGGGCUUAAAGGGCGCGUAGGCGGCUUGUCAAGUCAGGGGUGAAAUCCUGCAGCUCAACUGUAGAAGUGCCUUUGAUACUGACGAGCUCGAGGGAGGUAGGGGUGCGUGGAACUUCUGGUGGAGCGGUGAAAUGCGUUGAUAUCAGAAGGAACGCCGGUGGCGAAAGCGACGCACUGGACCUUUUCUAACGCUGAGGCGCGAAAGCCAGGGGAGCAAACGGG